rnacentral:rRNA from 1 species
UAGGGAAUCUUCGGCAAUGGGGGGAACCCUGACCGAGCAACGCCGCGUGAGUGAAGAAGGUUUUCGGAUCGUAAAGCUCUGUUGUUAAGGAAGAACGAGUGUGAGAAUGGAAAGUUCAUGCUGUGACGGUACUUAACCAGAAAGCCACGGCUAACUACGUGCCAGCAGCCGCGGUAAUACGUAGGUGGCAAGCGUUAUCCGGAAUUAUUGGGCGUAAAGCGCGCGUAGGCGGUUUUUUAAGUCUGAUGUGAAAGCCCACGGCUCAACCGUGGAGGGUCAUUGGAAACUGGAAAACUUGAGUGCAGAAGAGGAGAGUGGAAUUCCAUGUGUAGCGGUGAAAUGCGUAGAUAUAUGGAGGAACACCAGUGGCGAAGGCGACUCUCUGGUCUGUAACUGACGCUGAGGCUCGAAAGCGUGGGUAGCAAACAGG